rnacentral:rRNA from 1 species
GUAGGAUGAAACUGCGGACGGCUCAUUAUAACAGUAAUAGUUUCUUUGGUUAGUCGGUACAAGGAUAACUUUGUGAAUGAUAAAGCUAAUACUUGAGACGAUCCGGGAAGUAUUUAUACUUUUCGGCCCUUGGCCGCAAGGCUGGGGAGAAACGACAUUCUCUUGUGAAAAAGGAUGCCGCGACAAUUGAGGAAAGCGACGCUUUUAACAAGUAACCAAUGGGAAUUUCUGAUCUAUCAAUUUGUUGGUAGUAUCGAGGACUACCAAGAUUAUAACGGAUAACGAGGAAUUGGGGUUCGACAUCGGAGAGGGAGCUUUACAGAUGGCUACCACUUCUAAGGAAGGCAGCAGGCGCGUAAAUUACCCACUUUCGACCCGAAGAGGUAGUGACGACAAAUAACUCUUGGCGCCCCUCGGGGUGACUUGAAGGAAUGAUUUAGAAGUAAAUUCUCUAAAGAAAUCA